UUAAGCGACUAAGCGUACACGGUGGAUGCCCUGGCAGUCAGAGGCGAUGAAGGACGUGCUAAUCUGCGAUAAGCGUCGGUAAGGUGAUAUGAACCGUUAUAACCGGCGAUUUCCGAAUGGGGAAACCCAGUGUGAUUCGUCACACUAUCAUUAACUGAAUCCAUAGGUUAAUGAGGCGAACCGGGGGAACUGAAACAUCUAAGUACCCCGAGGAAAAGAAAUCAACCGAGAUUCCCCCAGUAGCGGCGAGCGAACGGGGAGCAGCCCAGAGCCUGAAUCAGUGUGUGUGUUAGUGGAAGCGUCUGGAAAGGCGCGCGAUACAGGGUGACAGCCCCGUACACAAAAAUGCACAUGCUGUGAGCUCGAUGAGUAGGGCGGGACACGUGGUAUCCUGUCUGAAUAUGGGGGGACCAUCCUCCAAGGCUAAAUACUCCUGACUGACCGAUAGUGAACCAGUACCGUGAGGGAAAGGCGAAAAGAACCCCGGCGAGGGGAGUGAAAAAGAACCUGAAACCGUGUACGUACAAGCAGUGGGAGCACAGAGCAAUCUGUGUGACUGCGUACCUUUUGUAUAAUGGGUCAGCGACUUAUAUUCUGUAGCAAGGUUAACCGAAUAGGGGAGCCGAAGGGAAACCGAGUCUUAACUGGGCGUUAAGUUGCAGGGUAUAGACCCGAAACCCGGUGAUCUAGCCAUGGGCAGGUUGAAGGUUGGGUAACACUAACUGGAGGACCGAACCGACUAAUGUUGAAAAAUUAGCGGAUGACUUGUGGCUGGGGGUGAAAGGCCAAUCAAACCGGGAGAUAGCUGGUUCUCCCCGAAAGCUAUUUAGGUAGCGCCUCGUGAAUUCAUCUCCGGGGGUAGAGCACUGUUUCGGCAAGGGGGUCAUCCCGACUUACCAACCCGAUGCAAACUGCGAAUACCGGAGAAUGUUAUCACGGGAGACACACGGCGGGUGCUAACGUCCGUCGUGAAGAGGGAAACAACCCAGACCGCCAGCUAAGGUCCCAAAGUCAUGGUUAAGUGGGAAACGAUGUGGGAAGGCCCAGACAGCCAGGAUGUUGGCUUAGAAGCAGCCAUCAUUUAAAGAAAGCGUAAUAGCUCACUGGUCGAGUCGGCCUGCGCGGAAGAUGUAACGGGGCUAAACCAUGCACCGAAGCUGCGGCAGCGACGCUUAUGCGUUGUUGGGUAGGGGAGCGUUCUGUAAGCCUGCGAAGGUGUGCUGUGAGGCAUGCUGGAGGUAUCAGAAGUGCGAAUGCUGACAUAAGUAACGAUAAAGCGGGUGAAAAGCCCGCUCGCCGGAAGACCAAGGGUUCCUGUCCAACGUUAAUCGGGGCAGGGUGAGUCGACCCCUAAGGCGAGGCCGAAAGGCGUAGUCGAUGGGAAACAGGUUAAUAUUCCUGUACUUGGUGUUACUGCGAAGGGGGGACGGAGAAGGCUAUGUUGGCCGGGCGACGGUUGUCCCGGUUUAAGCGUGUAGGCUGGUUUUCCAGGCAAAUCCGGAAAAUCAAGGCUGAGGCGUGAUGACGAGGCACUACGGUGCUGAAGCAACAAAUGCCCUGCUUCCAGGAAAAGCCUCUAAGCAUCAGGUAACAUCAAAUCGUACCCCAAACCGACACAGGUGGUCAGGUAGAGAAUACCAAGGCGCUUGAGAGAACUCGGGUGAAGGAACUAGGCAAAAUGGUGCCGUAACUUCGGGAGAAGGCACGCUGAUAUGUAGGUGAAGUCCCUCGCGGAUGGAGCUGAAAUCAGUCGAAGAUACCAGCUGGCUGCAACUGUUUAUUAAAAACACAGCACUGUGCAAACACGAAAGUGGACGUAUACGGUGUGACGCCUGCCCGGUGCCGGAAGGUUAAUUGAUGGGGUCAGCGCAAGCGAAGCUCUUGAUCGAAGCCCCGGUAAACGGCGGCCGUAACUAUAACGGUCCUAAGGUAGCGAAAUUCCUUGUCGGGUAAGUUCCGACCUGCACGAAUGGCGUAAUGAUGGCCAGGCUGUCUCCACCCGAGACUCAGUGAAAUUGAACUCGCUGUGAAGAUGCAGUGUACCCGCGGCAAGACGGAAAGACCCCGUGAACCUUUACUAUAGCUUGACACUGAACAUUGAGCCUUGAUGUGUAGGAUAGGUGGGAGGCUUUGAAGUGUGGACGCCAGUCUGCAUGGAGCCGACCUUGAAAUACCACCCUUUAAUGUUUGAUGUUCUAACGUUGACCCGUGAUCCGGGUUGCGGACAGUGUCUGGUGGGUAGUUUGACUGGGGCGGUCUCCUCCUAAAGAGUAACGGAGGAGCACGAAGGUUGGCUAAUCCUGGUCGGACAUCAGGAGGUUAGUGCAAUGGCAUAAGCCAGCUUGACUGCGAGCGUGACGGCGCGAGCAGGUGCGAAAGCAGGUCAUAGUGAUCCGGUGGUUCUGAAUGGAAGGGCCAUCGCUCAACGGAUAAAAGGUACUCCGGGGAUAACAGGCUGAUACCGCCCAAGAGUUCAUAUCGACGGCGGUGUUUGGCACCUCGAUGUCGGCUCAUCACAUCCUGGGGCUGAAGUAGGUCCCAAGGGUAUGGCUGUUCGCCAUUUAAAGUGGUACGCGAGCUGGGUUUAGAACGUCGUGAGACAGUUCGGUCCCUAUCUGCCGUGGGCGCUGGAGAACUGAGGGGGGCUGCUCCUAGUACGAGAGGACCGGAGUGGACGCAUCACUGGUGUUCGGGUUGUCAUGCCAAUGGCACUGCCCGGUAGCUAAAUGCGGAAGAGAUAAGUGCUGAAAGCAUCUAAGCACGAAACUUGCCCCGAGAUGAGUUCUCCCUGACUCCUUGAGAGUCCUGAAGGAACGUUGAAGACGACGACGUUGAUAGGCCGGGUGUGUAAGCGCAGCGAUGCGUUGAGCUAACCGGUACUAAUGAACCGUGAGGCUUAACCU
rnacentral:rRNA from 1 species